UAAGCCGGAAAUUAUCAAGACAGUUAUGGAGGAUGUUAAAUGUACCUUGGCAACACUGAAUUGUAUUAUUCCGCCAACAGAAAACGUGACGUCAGAAUUGCCGCCAAAGCAUUUAUAGGCUGCCCGCGCUGAGUGACAGUUGUGGCUGCUGCAAGUGUAAUUGGCGUUUUAAAGGACAAGGGCUGUGUGGAGUGCCUCGUGCGUGCGUGUGGUGCUUGUGUGUGGCCCUUGUAAUGGAGGUACCGCACCUGUGGACUGGAGUACUGGAAGAAACGCACAGACAGAAGAUGGAGCCGUGUUCGUGUGUGGCUCCCUCGUGGCACCUGCACAGAAUAAACACAAGCUGGAAAUUACCUGGACGUUCCUUUAAGCACGUGGAGGAUCGUGGCCAGUUCGUGGUUGAAUUAAGAGACCCAGCCGUGUAUGGAAGGCCUGAGCUGUACGAGACUUGAGUGUGGUGGGCUGAAAAGACUGUUUGUGACGUCCAUUCUUUUCUUUAAGUAGGUCUUGAUUUCGUAACUCAUGUACACACACACACACACACACACACACACACACACACACACACACACACACACACACACACACACACACACACACACACACACACACAC